rnacentral:rRNA from 1 species
UACAGAGGGUGCGAGCGUUGUCCGGAAUCACUGGGCGUAAAGGGCGCGUAGGUGGCGACCCAAGUCGAUGGUGAAAGCUCGUCGCUCAACGACGAGUCGGCCACCGAUACUGGGUUGCUCGACGCACUGUAGAGGCAGAUGGAAUUCCGGGGUGUAGCGGUGGAAUGCGUAGAGAUCCGGAAGAACACCGGUGGCGAAGGCGGUCUGCUGGGCAGUAGCUGACACUGAGGCGCGACAGCGUGGGGGAGCAAACAGG